AUGGACCAAAUCCAAAAGUAUCCAAUUGUGGAAGUCUACAUCACAGUUGAGAACAAUCAAAUAUCUGCUACCUACGUGUUGUACUACAAGACCGAUCAAAAGCCAGUAACGCUCACUUACCACAAUUGCUCUCUAGGAUGCCAGCGAGUGCAAGACCAAAUGGAAGAACUGCUCGAGAACCAGGAUUUCAUGAAACUGUUCAUUGAGAAUUUAAGUACCUCGCUAGCCAUGAACAACGUUCUGUCAUUUCUAUCAAUUGCAAUGUUUGGAAAAUCAAGCUCAUUGCUUAAUGAUGAUAUUAGCAACACGUUUCUAAGUGAUUUCAAAGAAAUGCUCCAGAAAAGAGAUAAUUCGCUUGUACUGAACGAAAUAACUAUUUCAUUUCGGAGUGUUACAAUUAGACGAUAUAUAAUUUCGAUUGUGAAAAGCUGUCACCCAGAGAUAUUCAAAACACUUAAAGUCAGUGUUAUUGCUGAAAAUUAAAACCGUCCAAUGGAAAAGACAUUCCACAUCGAUCAACUUGAUGACGUCGAAAAUCAAUUUCUUUCUGUGAAAAAUGAAUUUGAUAUUGAUUAUUGCCGAACCAACCUAUACACAUACACCUUGACGUUUUCGGAUAAAAUAAGUGAUGAUCAAGCUCUUCCAAUUUGUAAAUUGCAAGCUUUGACAAAAAAUGAUCCAUCCAUUAUGGGGAUGUUUUUCAAUUUUACAUCGUACUUCACAACGUGAGUUAAUUUACGUUCUACGCUCACGCCAUUCUGAAUUUCUGGAGAGGAGACAAUCAUUGAACUAUUCCAUGAAUCCGCAUCACGUGUAUGACGAUGUUAAUUAUUUUU